ACCAGACUCCUACGGGAGGCAGCAGUGGGGAAUAUUGCACAAUGGGGGAAACCCUGAUGCAGCGACGCCGCGUGAGUGAAGAAGUAUUUCGGUAUGUAAAGCUCUCUCAGCAGGGAAGAAAAUGACGGUACCUGAUUAAGAAGCCCCGGCUAACUACGUGCCAGCAGCCGCGGUAAUGCGUAGGGGGCAAGCGUUAUCCGGAUUUACUGGGUGUAAAGGGAGCGUAGACGGUGCAGCAAGUCUGGAGUGAAAGGCAGGGGCCCAACCCCUGGACUGCUUUGGAAACUGUUUGACUGGAGUGCAGGAGAGGUAAGUGGAAUUCCUAGUGUAGCGGUGAAAUGCGUAGAUAUUAGGAGGAACACCAGUGGCGAAGGCGGCUUACUGGACUGUAACUGACGUUGAGGCUCGAAAGCGUGGGGAGCAAACAGGAUUAGAUACCCCUGUA
rnacentral:rRNA from 1 species